GAUGAAGAACGCAGCGAAAUGCGAUAAGUAAUGUGAAUUGCAGAAUUCAGUGAAUCAUCGAAUCUUUGAACGCACAUUGCGCCCGCUAGUAUUCUGGCGGGCAUGCCUGUUCGAGCGUCAUUUCAACCAUCAAGCCCUGUUUAGGCUUGUGUUGGGGCCCUGCGGUUGCCGCAGCCCCCUAAAUGCAGUGGCGGGCUCGUUGUCACUCCGAGCGCAGUAGCGUAUCUCGCUCUGGGCGUGGCGGCGGGUGCUAGCCGUGAAACACCCACCAAGGUUGACCUCGGAUCAGGUAGGAAUACCCGCUGAACUUAAGCAUAUCAAUAAGCGGAGGA
rnacentral:misc_RNA from 1 species